rnacentral:rRNA from 1 species
AGGACGAACGCUGGCGGCGUGCUUAACACAUGCAAGUCGAGCGGAAAGGCCCUUCGGGGUACUCGAGCGGCGAACGGGUGAGUAACACGUGAGCAACCUGCCCUUAGCUUCGGGAUAGCUCCGGGAAACCGGAAUUAAUACCGAAUAUGACUUUGGCUGACAUCAGCAGAAGUGGAAAGUUUUUACGGCUAGGGAUGGACUCGCGGCCUAUCAGCUAGUUGGUGAGGUAACGGCCCACCAAGGCGACGACGGGUA